GUAGGUGUGCAAGCGUUGUCCGGAUUUAUUGGGUUUAAAGGGUGCGUAGGCGGCCCUGUAAGUCAGUGGUGAAAUGCUCUAGCUUAACUAGAGAGGUGCCAAUGAUACUGCAGGGCUUGAGUACAGAUGAGGUAGGCGGAAUUGACGGUGUAGCGGUGAAAUGCAUAGAUAUCGUCAAGAACACCGAUAGCGAAGGCAGCUUACUGGGCUGUAACUGACGCUGAUGCACGAAAGUGUGGGGAUCAAACAGGAUUAGAUACCCUGGUAGUCCACACUGUAAACGUUGAUUACUCGCUGUUUGCGAUACACAGCAAGCGGCUUAGCGAAAGCGAUAAGUAAUCCACCUGGGGAGUACGCCGGCAACGGUG
rnacentral:rRNA from 1 species